rnacentral:rRNA from 1 species
UUGGUUAAGUUAGAAAGGGCGCACGGUGGAUGCCUUGGCACUAGGAGCCGAAGAAGGACGGGACUAACACCGAUAUGCUUUGGGGAGCUGUACGUAAGCGUUGAUCCAGAGAUUUCCGAAUGGGGGAACCCACUAUCUUUAGUCGGAUAGUAUCCUUACGUGAAUACAUAGCGUGAGGAAGGCAGACCCAGGGAACUGAAACAUCUAAGUACCUGGAGGAAGAGAAAGAAAAAUCGAUUUCCUGAGUAGCGGCGAGCGAAACGGAAAGAGCCCAAACCAAGAAGCUUGCUUCUUGGGGUUGUAGGACACUCUAUACGGAGUUACAAAAGAAAGUUAUAAAUGAAGCGGUCUGGAAAGGCCCGCCAAAGACGGUAACAGCCCGGUAGUUGAAAUGGCUUUCCCUCCAGAGUGGAUCCUGAGUACGGCGGAACACGUGAAAUUCCGUCGGAAUCCGGGAGGACCAUCUCCCAAGGCUAAAUACUCCCUAGUGACCGAUAGUGAACCAGUACCGUGAGGGAAAGGUGAAAAGCACCCCGGAAGGGGAGUGAAACAGUUCCUGAAACCGUGUGCCUACAAGUAGUUAGAGCCCGUUAAUGGGUGAUAGCGUGCCUUUUGUAGAAUGAACCGGCGAGUUACGAUUUGUUGCAAGGUUAAGCGGAAAAAGCGGAGCCGUAGCGAAAGCGAGUCUGAAUAGGGCGCAUAAGUAACAGGUCGUAGACCCGAAACCAGGUGAUCUACCCAUGUCCAGGAUGAAGGUAAGGUAAUACUUACUGGAGGUCCGAACCCACGCACGUUGAAAAGUGCGGGGAUGAGGUGUGGGUAGCGGAGAAAUUCCAAUCGAACUUGGAGAUAGCUGGUUCUCUCCGAAAUAGCUUUAGGGCUAGCCUCGAGGUAAAGAGUCAUGGAGGUAGAGCACUGUUUGGACUAGGGGCCCUUCUCGGGUUACCGAAUUCAGAUAAACUCCGAAUGCCAUGUACUUAUACUCGGGAGUCAGACUGCGAGUGAUAAGAUCCGUAGUCGAAAGGGAAACAGCCCAGACCACCAGUUAAGGUCCCCAAAUAUAUGUUAAGUGGAAAAGGAUGUGGGGUUGCUUAGACAACCAGGAUGUUGGCUUAGAAGCAGCCACCAUUGAAAGAGUGCGUAAUAGCUCACUGGUCGAGUGACCCCGCGCCGAAAAUGUACCGGGGCUAAACAUAUUACCGAAACUGUGGAUGAACCUCUUUAGAGGUUCGUGGUAG